AGCGAACGCUGGCGGCAGGCUUAACACAUGCAAGUCGAGCGGGCGUAGCAAUACGUCAGCGGCAGACGGGUGAGUAACGCGUGGGAACGUACCUUUUGGUUCGGAACAACACAGGGAAACUUGUGCUAAUACCGGAUAAGCCCUUACGGGGAAAGAUUUAUCGCCGAAAGAUCGGCCCGCGUCUGAUUAGCUAGUUGGUGAGGUAAUGGCUCACCAAGGCGACGAUCAGUAGCNGGUCUGAGAGGAUGAUCAGCCACAUUGGGACUGAGACACGGCCCAAACUCCUACGGGAGGCAGCAGUGGGGAAUAUUGGACAAUGGGCGCAAGCCUGAUCCAGCCAUGCCGCGUGAGUGAUGAAGGCCCUAGGGUUGUAAAGCUCUUUUGUGCGGGAAGAUAAUGACGGUACCGCAAGAAUAAGCCCCGGCUAACUUCGUGCCAGCCGCCG
rnacentral:rRNA from 1 species